GGAGAAGGUUUGUAGCACAGUAUUAAAGCAUCUGCUUGGCAUGCAGAAGUUUCCAGGUUCAAUCACUGGCAUCUCCA